rnacentral:rRNA from 1 species
UACGGAGGGUGCAAGCGUUAUCCGGAUUUACUGGGUUUAAAGGGUGUGUAGGCGGGCUUUUAAGUCAGUGGUGAAAUCUCCGGGCUCAACCUGGAAACUGCCAUUGAUACUAUUAGUCUUGAAUUUUGUUGAGGUAGGCGGAAUAAGUCAUGUAGCGGUGAAAUGCAUAGAUAUGACGUAGAACACCAAUGGCGAAGGCAGCUUGCUAAACAAAUAUUGACGCUGAGGCACGAAAGCGUGGGGAUCAAACAGG